CCUACGGGUGGCAGCAGUGGGGGAUAGUGCACAAUGGAGGGAACUCUGAUGCAGCGACGCCGCGUGAGGGAAGAAGGUUUUCGGAUUGUAAACCUCUGUCUUCGGUGACGAAACGAGACGGUAGCCGAGGAGGAAGCCACGGCUAACUACGUGCCAGCAGCCGCGAUAAUACGGAGGUGGCAAGCGUUGUCCGGAAUUACUGGGUGUAAAGGGAGCGUAGGCGGGAAAGCAAGUUGAAUGUUUAAGGUACGGGCUCAACCUGUACACGCGUUCAACACUGUUUUUCUUGAGUGGAGUAGAGGUCAGCGGCUUUCCUAGUGUAGCGGUGACAUGCGUACCUAUUAGGAGGAACACCAGUGGCGCAGGCGGCUUACUGGGCUUUACCUGCCGCUGAGGCUCGAUCGCGUGGGUAGCACACCGGAUUCGCUACCCUUGUAGUC
rnacentral:rRNA from 1 species